CGUUAAGCUAAAAAAGUUAAGAUGAUCAGGUUUUGGUCACUUUCAGACAUGAUGGACUUUGAAUGAUCAAAUGCACAAAUGUGUUUCAAAACUGGAACGGUACACAUAUCUCGCUGGCUAAGGUGAAAUGUCAGAGAACUGAGCAGCAGGAGCCCUGGGGACACUCAAGCCAAAGCGCGUGUUCCGGCAUGCACAGCAAAGUUUAGAGCCGACGCCUUGAGCUUCAGUCAAGCAAGACUUACAGCAAAACGUAGCUAGAGAGCCAAACCCACCCACCCAUUGAUCGCUCUGACGUCACGUGCAAGAAGCAAAACGUAACAAUAACAAUCAAACAACAACUGAAAUUUUCCAAAAGCCAAUGGCAACACCUGCA